rnacentral:tRNA from 1 species
UGAAAUUCUACUUAAACUAUUCCUUG